AAGAGCCUCAAAUUGGAGGCAAAACAAAUGCUUAUUAGCAGUAGAAUAGAUAAAUAAAUUAUGGUGUAUUUCAUACAAUGGAAUACUUUACAGCAACAAAAAAAUGAAGAAACUGCAUAUGCUUGCAGCAACAUAAAAAAACUUUAAAAACAUAAUAUAAAGGUCAAAGACAGAGACAUUAAAGAUAACAUAUGAUCUCAUUUAUAUGAAAUUCAAAACUAACCAAAAUUAAAUUAUCAUAUUUAGCAAUGCACACAUAGGUAAUUGUAUUAGUCCGUUUUUCACACUGCUGAUAAAGACAUACCUGAGACUGGACAAUUUACAAAAGAAAGAGGUUUAUUGGACUUACAGUUCCACAUUGCUGGGGAGGUUUCACAAUCAUGGCAGAAGGCAAGGAGGAGCAAGUCACAUCUUACAUGGAUGGCAGCAGUCAAAGAGCAAGCUUAUGCAAAGAAACUCCCAUUUUUAAAACCAUCAGAUCUCGUAAGACCCAUUCACUAUCACAAGAACAGCACAGGAAAGACCUGUCCCCAUGAUUCAGUCAUCUCCCACUGGGUCCCUUCCACAACAUGUGGGAAUUAUGGGAGCUACAGGAUGAGAUCUGGGGGGGGGACACAGAUCCAAACCAUAUCAGUGACAAAACUCUAAAGCAAAGCAGGAAAUCACUUUUUAUAAGAGUCCAGAUUGAAAUAUCUUUGUGGGGAGAGGGAGGAGAUGUACAGAGAGAGGCUGGCAGAGUCUCUUUUUUGCUCUAGGUGGCAGGUUCAAGGGUGUUCAGUUUAUUUUGGAAGCAGUGCAGAGAAGGGAGCCAGACUAGAAACAGGGAGGUGAUCAACUGGGUCUUGGUUACAUACAGAAAACAGCAGAGACAGCUGAAAGAUCCUUCUCUGUGUUCAGAGCCAUCAUCUAUCAUUAGCAUCCAGUGAUAGCAGGAACAUUGAUGCCAACAUUUUUCAAAGUCUGCAGAAAUGACUUGGCCCCUCCACAGAGCCUUGUGAGUCAGUUCAGAAGAAAUCAAUAUCCAUCUUCUGUUCUCUUCUUGCCUGCCAAGGGGACCUGGAAUCCUUAAGUUUUGCUCCUGGUUUCCCACUUCAGUAUUCAUCCAAAGAGUCUCCUCCUGCUUGUUUUCAUUCUUUCUGCCCUUCCUUGUCCCCCAGAGUGGAGAUCUGAAGUGCAUAAUACCCCACUAUGCGGUGAUGUUAGCCCCAGAGCACAGCUGAACACAGCAUUCCUCAGGAGAGGAUUCAUCCUCUAUAUAGGGAACACUGGAGAUAUUGCUGCCCUAACUCCAAAGAACUAAUCACCAAAGCUUGGGACUUUGGGCCCAUGGUAGGCAACUGGAAGAGUUAUCUGGGGCAAAGAGUGUAACUCAAACAUCAUCAUAACUAUCUGACAGACUUUAAGGAGGCCAAUCCAAUGUUCUCAAACCUGGCUGCAUCAUGAAUCACUCAAGGAAUUUAUUUUUUAUCCAGAUUUCUGAACCCCCAACCCCAGAGAUUCUGACUUACUGGGUUCUGGGUAGAACAUGGAAAUCUGUAUUUAUAGCAACUCACCCAGGCGAUUCAUCCAGGUGGCUCUGGUGCAACUCUUCAAUGGGCUGGUACUUAGGAGCAUCCCCGGGGGUCAGAGCUCAAGUUCCUCAUGGCCAGGAACUGUGUAGGCCUCCUUUGCUUACAUCUAAGUGGUUUCCCCUGGUCCAACUGGAACACGAAUGUUAUCUCCUGAGUCCAACUUUAUUGCUUCUUCUAACCAUCUAGAUAUCUGCUAGUAAAACUCAAGACAUCUCUAAUUCUUCCUCUUUCCACUAGAGAUUUAAAUGCAUUUUUUUCACAUAAAGAUGGACUUUAAUCUAAUGUAGUUAUGCAUGCAUAUAAAUGCCCAAACAAGAGCCAAGUUGGGAAAUAUGGCCAUGUGUUGAUGUGAUGUCUUGGAACAAGGAAGGACACCUCUGCAGAGGUGUUUUGAGGGCUAUACCCACAUGCUGAUGUGAUACCUUAUCAAAGCACUCUAGAGCAGCCAUUCUUAAAUAUUUUGGCCUCAAAAAGACCAAACAAGUCCUUUAUGAUUGCUUAUGUGUAUUGUAUGCAUUGAUAUUUACAUGGAUAUUUAUAAUCCAUUCAUGUUAAAAAUUAAAACUGAAAAAAUAUUUGUUUAUAAAUCAUUUACAAAUAACAAUAAUAAACUCACUAUAUUAACAU
rnacentral:lncRNA from 10 species